rnacentral:rRNA from 1 species
CACCGCGGUUAUACGAGCGACCCAAGUUGAUAGACAACGGCGUAAAGGGUGGUUAAGAUAAAAAUUAAACUAAAGCCGAAUAUUUUCAUGGCUGUUAUACGUUUAUGAAAAUAAGAAGUUCUUCUACGAAAGUAGCUUUACUAUUCCUGACCCCACGAAAGCUGGGGAA